rnacentral:rRNA from 1 species
GAUGAGCGAGGGAGGAGGGAAGAAUACAUGCAAGUCGAACGGGGAGUAGCAAUACUCUUAGUGGCGAACGGGUGAGUAACGCGUUGGUACCUGCCCCGAAGCGGGGGAUAACGGACCGAAAGGUCCGCUAAUACCCCAUGUGCUCGGUAACGAGUAAAGGUGAAAACCACUUUGGGAGGGGCCUGCGUCCCAUCAGCUAGUUGGUAAGGUAACGGCUUACCAAGGCGAUGACGGGUAGGGGACCUGAGAGGGUGGCCCCCCACAAUGGAACUGAAACACGGUCCAUACACCUACGGGUGGCAGCAGUAGGGAAUAUUGGUAAUGGGCGCAAGCCUGAACCAGCAACGCCGCGUGUGCGAUGACGGCCUUCGGGUUGUAAAGCACUUUUGACUGGGACGAGGAAGGACGGUACCGGUCGAAUCAGCCUCGGCUAACUACGUG